rnacentral:misc_RNA from 1 species
CGUCGCCCCUCCCCUCCUCAUCGUAUUGUGCGCCCAUGACAGGUCGCAUGGAGGGGGUACGCGUUGCCCUGCGCUCUUCCAUCAUUGUCUGGCAUCCACAGAUGCACACACAUUCGCUUACGCCCACACCCACACACACGCACAUCCCCAUCAUAGAAAACGCUUUUAAAAGAAAAAGGAGCCGUAGCCGGCGUACGAAAUGUGGCGCCAAGGCACCACGGCACUGCAGCCUCUGCAGCAGCAACAAAACUCGGUAGAUAAUGCAGCGGUGCCCGUGAAGUCGUCGUCGCAGCAGCAGCUGACAAGCAUGCCAUCAACGCUAUCGGAGACACUCCAUGAGUUUUACAGGGCGCACACACAGCUGGAACCGCACCAGCACCAGCAGCAGCAACAGCCGCCGAACGUGCUGGCAAACAUCAUGCUGGCCAAGGAGCGCCUCUCUGCCUCCGUGGCGCGGUCGCACAGCUGCGAUCGCAGCGUGUCGGAGGCGCCUGUCGAAACUCACCGUGAUGGCAAGAAGGGCCCACACAGCCGCCAAGGCCAAGCGGCGCGGCCGUACCCCGGCAAGAUCCGCAGCACUGUUGCUUUCUCUAGUGAAGGCGAGCGGGAAAGCAGCGCUUCUCAGAUGCGCUCCGCUUCGCCGCCGGACAGCAUCGCCACGGCUGCGCCACCACUAUGCCCAGAGGUCCCCGUAACGGCUACCUUAGACGUCGAUCCCGCGCAGCCGUCGGCGCUGUUGCAAGAUCGACGGCGUCGAAAUGCAGAAGCACGGGUGGAUUCACACGACCGCGCAGCAGCCGGGCGGCAUCCGGACCCGGGUGUCGCAUCCGUGGCUCUGCCGCCGUCUGGCACGCGAGCAGGUGCGAAUGCUGUGCUCCAUAAAAGACCCUCGCCGUCGCCAGAAGCUGCGGCGGACAACGAGCGUCAUCCCACGUCGUCUGGCGAGCUGGCCGACGAGCUUCAGCGCACCCGGCAGAAGCUGGCGGAGAUGCAACGCCUCUACAGUUUUGAGAAGCGGGCGCACCUGCAGCAGCGCACCCGGCAGCUGCGCGAAGAAGCGCAGAGGCGGCAAUCGGACGACGACAUCACGGAGCGGACGGCGCAGCUCUUGACCGACUACGAGUCACUCAUUCAAUUCCGCGACACCGCCAGCCGAGAGCGCCUGGAAGGCGUUCUGCAGCGCGUCACGGCCGAGUGGAAGCGAAGUGCCGAGAGCCUCGAGCAGACUCGCGCUGCGUGUGAGGAUGCGCUCCUUUCCCGCCUGCGCGCGACGCUUGCAGAGCAGCAGGAUGCACUGGCAAAGCGCCUCCAGCAGCACCUCUUGUCGGUGGCCAAGUCCACAGUGGAGACGGAGCGUGCGCAGCAUGCGGCCAUCGCGGCUGCCGUCCAGGAGCAAGUCGAGUCCUUCAAGGAGGAGUACCGCCGUGUACUCGAGCAAGACAUGGCGGAGCGGCAGCGGCUGAUGGAUGAGCAAGCGGCACACCGAGAGGCGCAGUGGCGCAGCUUCUUGAAGGACGAGCACGCCCGCAUGGUCGCAACCGGCGAGGUGGCUGCCCGUGAAGCGAGUCGUCGCCAGCUGGAGACGCUGCACAUUGCGAUGCGCGACAUCACGGCGCUGCGGGAGCAGCUGCUCCACGAGCAUACACGCCGGCAAGCACAGGUGGGUCAGGAGUACCUUGUGGCGUACGAAAGCCUGGCCAGCGAGUACGUUGCGUCUACGGAAGAGACGGCGGAGUACGUGCAGCGCCUGCAGCAUGACUACGCAAGCAUCAUACACGCCUUGCACAAGGAGGUGAGCCGCGUGUCAACAGAGAAGCAGGAGGCGGUGCGUCAGUCGGAGCAAUGCACUUUGCAAGUGGCGGAAGCCGUCGCGCAGCAGCUGCACUUCGCCGAGGAAUCAGUGGAUUCGCGGUGGCAGGCUCGGUGGACGGCGGAGCAGGAGGCGCACCGCGCCGCCGUGCUGCGGCUGAUGCGUCUGCACGAGGAGGCCCUAGAGAAGGUGCGCAGCACCAGUGCCGCCAAGGAGGCCAAGCUAAAGGAGGAGCAUGAAAGAGAACACGCAGCAUGGGAGGAGCAUCUGACGCGCCAGCAGGAGCAACAGACUGCCGCCGUUGACGACGCGCUCCGGAGUGCCCAGGCGACGGUGCGGAGAUUGGAAAGGGAAAAGGAGGGUCUCUCGGUGCAAGUUCAGCAGCUGAAGGAUCAGCUGCGGCGCGAGGAGCUUGCGCACGAGGCAGCCGUGCAGGACGCGCGUCAGGCCGAAGAAGCACGCUACACCUCGCAACUGAACAGCCUCGAGGCGGCCUACGAUGCGGUACUGCAACAGUACAAGGAGAAACUUAAGACGGUCUGCAAUGGCAAUGACGGUUCUGGUGCCGGCUUCACAACCGCGACGACCGCGGUGAAACGAGUGAUGGAGCUUGAGAAGGAGCUGCACGAGGCUCGGGCGGAGCACGCGACUCGAGUGCAGCAGGCCGUAGAGGAAGCGGCAGCGCUAUGGUCAGCUCGGCUCGAGGAGUGCCGUCAGCAACAGCGAGCCCACUGUAAAGCGAUGGAGCAGCAGCACCGUGCGCUGCGGGCGGCACUCCUCGAGGAGGUGCAGCGGCGCGAGCAAGCACUGGAGGAAAACUGUGUAGCCGAGCGCAGGGCCCACCAAGAAGAGCUGCAAGACGUCAUCAUGAGGGAGAAAGAGGCCUCGCAGCGUGCACUGGAGCGUCUCGAGCGGCAGCACGCUGCGGCGCAACGCCAGGUGGAAGCAGAAGCGGAGAGGCGCGUGCGUGCCGGCGAGGAUGCACUGGCGGUGCGCGAGAAGCAGCUCGAAAUUGCCGAAGCAGAGUGGCGACGUCGCCGCGCGGAGGACAAGGAAGCCUCACUGCAGCAACUGACGGCACACGUCGCUGCUCAGCACGCGAAGCAGCUCGCAGAGUUGGAAGAACAAGAGGCCAUCUUGCGCAGUAAGCACGCCCAGCUCGCGCGGCAGCAGGCCGUGAUGGAGCAAGACAUACGGAGGGUCGUUCGAGGUGAGAUGGAGAUGCGGCUGGCGGAGCAGCUGGCCGCCGCCGAAAAGGACUGGAUGCGACUGCUGGAAACUGAGCUGCUGCAGCGCUUCACCACGUGGCAGGAGUUGCGGAUGCAAGAGCUGGCGUGUGUGCAGCAGCUCCACAGCGAGGAGAUGCGUCUGCAUGACGAGCGCCACGCAGUCCAGAUGGCCGCGUUGCAAGAUGCGCAGCAACGCCAUCUCUCUCAGGAGGCAGAGGCCAUGCGCGCGCGCGAGGCAGCCUGGGCGGCCGCACGCACUGCUUCGCUCGACGCCUACAGUGAGGCGGCCGCUGCCAAGUUGCAGGAAGUGCUGGCGGUGGAGAAAGCCCAGUGGCACACCGCUCAGCAGCAGCACGCGGCGGAACGAGACGCCAGCAUCGAAACUGCGGCUGCACGCGUCGCGGAGCACUUUGCGAUCGCAGAGGCCACUCGUGCGCAGCUGGAGGAGAAGAUGCGCUCGAGCUACCUUGCAACUCUGGAGCAACAGCAAGCAAAGAUGUCCGCACUCCUGGCGGAGCAGCGUCGCCGUCACGAGGACGCCAUCGCGCAGGUGAGGGCGUCGUCCGCCGAGCUGGCGCAGCAGCAGGCCGCGCAGUUUGAGAAGGACCGCGAGGCACGCGAACGGGAGCAUGAGGCUCAUGUGCGAGAGGUAAGGGAGGCCCUCGAGCGGCAGUUGGCUGCCCAGCGCUCCCAGCACGCAGCGGCGCUUGCAGCAGAACGCUCGGUGGCGCAGGAUGGCAUCACGCGCCUCCAGCAGCAAGCGGACGCGGCGCGCGAGGCGUAUGAGAACGCCGCAUCUGCGCGGAUGCAGGAUAUGCGUCGCCUGUACGAGCAGCAGAUUGCAGAGCUGCAGCAGCGUUGCGACGCGCAGGCAAGACAGCUAAGCAGCAUAGAAGCGGGGUCGUACCUGCUGGAGCAGCGCGUUCGAGACGAGCAGGAGGCGACGCUGCGCGCCGAGUACGAGGCGAGCAUCGCGGGCCUUCGCAACGCUAUCGAGGAGCGAAAUAGGGGCUACGCCGAGCUACAAGCCUCCCUGUACACGCGCGUGCAAGCGGAGGCGGACCGCAUUCAAGCUGGUGCGGACGAGAGGGUAGCCUGCUUCAUGGAGCAGCAGCAGAAGCAACUUGCCGAGCUGCUCCUCGCCCACGAGCGAGCCCUUGGGGAGCAGCAGCAGCGCCAGCAGGAGGAGCUGGCGCGACUGCAGGUUCGCCAUGAGGUGGAUCUCAAGGCGCAGGCGUGCAAACUCCGCGAAGAGCACGAGGCCACCGAAGCGGCUCUGCAGUCCACGUGGGAGGCCCAGCAGGAAAGCUGGCAGCAACUCCUCGAGGAUGAGCGCCGCGACCGACGCGCCGCAGACGAACGCGCAACUGCAGCCGCGGCCGACGCGGCCGAGCUCCGUGUUUCGUGGGAGCAGCAGCAAGCAGCGGCCUAUCGCGCACUGGACGAGCAGUACCGCGGGUUACUGGAGCAGAUGCAGCACGAUAUGCAAGUGGAGCGCGAAGAGCUUGCGCGUCGUUGUCUUGAGGAGGAGGAACGGCGCUUCGCAGCCAAGAUGCUGCAGCGUCAGCACGCUCACCGUCGACCGCCUGAGGCUCAGCUGCAGCAGAAGCCGAGCGUCUCCACACAUGCCUUCCCCGCACCGGACACUCCCAUUCUUGUCACGGCACCGGAGUCCCGAACGCCUCUCGACAGGAGGCGCAGUAGUGGUGCUGCAACCGUGACCCUCUCGACUCCCGCUGCUCCGUGCUCGGCGACCGCGCAGGGAAGCCCUCUGCUCAUCUCUCCAGCUGCUCCCGUUGAACUUCCGGCAGCGCAUCACCAUCACAGCCAUCACCACAACCACGAGCAGGAGCCGCGUGCAGAUUUGGUGCAAAGGUCGAAGCAGCGUCUUCGGCAGCUGUGGGACGUGCUGGAGGUUCCCUCUGAAGACCAACGCACCUUUCUCAACUACGCAGACUCGCUUGAGCAAGAGGCACCAGCGGCGGUGUUGCAAGACGCGCUGCUGAGGGAGCAGCGACGGUUGGAGGCGCAGCUGCCUCUCUUAGAGGCCCUGACACGUCGCGAGUACGUGCAGCGGCAGUUGCGCGCCCUGGCCAAUGUCCGACCCUUGGCAUCACUCUCCAUUAACAGCAAGUCUGAUGCUAAACUGAAGCGCUGGAGCGCCGAGGACAGCGAUUACGAUACCGAUGACGCCGUCCACGUCUCCGUCUCCGCCACUUCACCAUCGUUCACUGGCGUGCUUACCGAUGGUAAGAAGAGUGCUACUACAUCGGCGGCCGUUUCGCCGCCGGCCAAGACGCGAGGCAAGGCGGAGGGCAAGCAACUCGAGCCGCUGCAGCUGGAGUUGCAGCGGCUGACAGAGCAGCUCCGCCGCGACAUCACGCAGCACGAGAAAGAGUACGGGCAGCUCUUCUGCGUCCACGGCACGCGCGUGAUGGACACGCUGUGACCCUCCCACGCCUGUGCGGGGGGGAGAGGGGGCAAAGGGGAGUUCCAACUGCAACGCUGCACCCAGGCAUUGCAAGCGCGCACGCAACACAACGCGCUCAUUCAGCCGCAUGUGCCAUCAGAAAGAGCCCGCAUACACACACGCUUCUCCCGCUCCGUACAGAAGCGGCGGGGAACUGCCGCAUGCAUCUCUCGGCAUGCGCGCACGUAACCAUAGACGGACUUCCUCCCCCUCCUCAGGAUACGCAUGCACGUUCACACGGAAAGAGAGAGAGCAGCGC